GAUGAACGCUGGCGGCGUGCCUAAUACAUGCAAGUCGAGCGAACAGAUAAGGAGCUUGCUCCUUUGUCGUUAGCGGCGGACGGGUGAGUAACACGUGGGUAACCUACCUAUAAGACUGGGAUAACUUCGGGAAACCGGAGCUAAUACCGGAUAAUAUUUCGAACCGCAUGGUUCGAUAGUGAAAGAUGGUUUUGCUAUCACUUAUAGAUGGACCCGCGCCGUAUUAGCUAGUUGGUAAGGUAACGGCUUACCAAGGCGACGAUACGUAGCCGACCUGAGAGGGUGAUCGGCCACACUGGAACUGAGACACGGUCCAGACUCCUACGGGAGGCAGCAGUAGGGAAUCUUCCGCAAUGGGCGAAAGCCUGACGGAGCAACGCCGCGUGAGUGAUGAAGGUCUUCGGAUCGUAAAACUCUGUUAUUAGGGAAGAACAUACGUGUAAGUAACUGUGCACGUCUUGACGGUACCUAAUCAGAAAGCCACGGCUAACUACGUG
rnacentral:rRNA from 1 species